AUUGAACGCUGGCGGCAGGCCUAACACAUGCAAGUCGGGCGAGCGGCGGACGGGUGAGCAAUGUAUGGGGACUGCCUGAUGGAGGGGGAUAACUACUGGAAAAGGUAGCUAAUACAGCAUACCGUCCGAUAACCAAUAUGGGAGUAGCUUGUAGGUGAGGUACCGGGUCAGAUAGGCGACGAUCCCUAGCUGGUCUGAGAGGCUGAUCAGCCAUAAUGGGACUGAGAAACGGCCCAGGCUCCGACGGAGGCAGCCGUGGGGAAUAUUGCACAAUGGGCGCAAGCCUGAUGCAGCCAUGCCGCGUGUAUGAAGAAGUCGUUUGGUUGGUAAAGUACUUUCAGUCGAGAGGCGUUACCGACAGAGGAAGCACCGGCUAACUCCGUGCCAGCAGCCGCGGUAAUUA
rnacentral:rRNA from 1 species